rnacentral:lncRNA from 1 species
CAAGAAAAAGCACUCAUGUAAGCUGAAUUAUCUGCUAUUUCCUUGGAGCCUAACAACUGACAGCAAUUGUUUUCAAUGAUAAAAUCCAAACGUUGAGUCAAAAUCAGAAUUUCGGGAAAACUUGUGUCUAAUAUCAGGAACUUGACAGCUUCCCAAUACUUCAUGAGAUAGUGAUAUUGAAAAUAAUUUUUUUUUUUUUUUGGGACAUCUGGCUGACUGCAACCUCUGUCUCCUGGGUUCAAGCAAUUCUCCUGCCUCAGCCUCCUGCAUAACUGGGACUACAGGGAAGCACCAUUUUCCACAAAACUCUCAAGAAGGACUUGUUGCAACUGGAAAAGCAAUUAAAUGUGAAUCGUGAUCCAGGAGAAAGUAACAACUCACAUAACUCCCAAAUUAAAAGUUUUCCAAAGAUAUAUCAUUUUUUUUCUCUUGGCCUUUUAAGAAACUAGCCAACAAAUACUCUUGACAGGUUUGUGUUUGGUUUUGAAAACACACACCUUAGUGUACUGAAAGAAAAACAAUUUCUUUUAAUUUGGUUUGUUGGUCCCACACCCCAUCUAUCAAUGUAUGUGCUAUUUACAAAUAAGUUCUAUACAGUAUUUUUGCAGUACCUUUGAUAAUUCCUAGACCUCUAUUUUCAUUCUGUGUAUUAAUGUGAAUAACAGAUGGAUAUUUUAAUAUUUAAGGCAGAUGGUAAACUUUCCUAUAGGUCUUGUGAGACUUCGUCUUAUAGGCUGAACACCAUUCACAAAAUGUAAUAAUGCUUCAUUCCUUCAGGUUGAGGUAAAGAACUUGAGCAACUGGAUUAGCAAAGCUGCAAAGAAUGAAAUGUGGCCUAAGAUGUAAUUAUGUUCUCUGCCCUUCCUUUGGGCCAGGGUAGUUUUGCACUUGACACAAUGGAAAAUAGGCCAUAAAGCCUGAAAAUAAAAUGUUCUAAACCCCA